rnacentral:rRNA from 1 species
UAACACCAGCCCCUCGAGUGGUGGGGAUGAUUAUUGGGCCUAAAGCGUCCGUAGCCUGCCGCAUAAGUUUUCCGUUAAAUCCAGCGUCUCAAGCGUUGGACUGCGGGAAAUACUGUACGGCUAGAGAGUGGGAGAGGUCAGCGGUAUUCUGGGGGUAGGGGCGAAAUCCUUUGAUCCCCGGAGGACCACCAGUGGCGAAGGCUGCUGUCUAGAACACGUCUGACGGUCAGGGACGAAAGCUGGGGUAGCGAACCGGAUUAGAUACCCGGGUAGUCCCAGCCGUAAACGAUGCAUGCUAGGUGUUGGGUUGGCCACGA